rnacentral:rRNA from 1 species
GACGAACGCUGGCGGCGUGCCUAAUACAUGCAAGUCGAACGAAAGCGACCGGUGCUUGCACUGGUCAAUCUAGUGGCGAACGGGUGAGUAACACGUGGGUAACCUGCCCAUCAGAUGGGGAUAACAUCCGGAAACUGAUGCUAAAACCGCAUAGGUCUUCGAACCGCAUUGUUUUAAGGGGAAAAUAGUCGCAAUCGUCUACGGCGGGCUGGACCCCCGGUGCAUUAGAUAGUUGGUGAUGUAAAGGCUCACCACGGCCGGGAUGCAGAGCCGAAGUGAGAGGGGGAUCGGCGACAUUGGGACUGAGACACGGCACAGACUCAUACGGGAGGCAGCAGUAGCAAAUCUUAAGAAAUGGACGGAAGUCUGAGGGAGCAGCGCCGCGUGAGUGAAGAGGGUUUUCGGAUCGUAAAACUCUGUUGUUAGCGAAGAACAAGUGCUCGAGUAACUGUUAGGGAGUUGACGUUAUCUAAUCAGAAAGCACCGGCUAACUACGUG